rnacentral:lncRNA from 1 species
CAUCAACACGAUCUUUGUCACUAUCCGAGGAGUACAAAAGUGUUUCAAAGGUUUCAAGCAUCUUACCUUUAUAAGCAGAAGAAUAAGGGUCGAUUUUACCUUUUCCAUUUAAAACAAACCUUCGCUCAUCGGGGGCAUAGUGUAGUUGAAGCUCCAUUGUUGAGUUAACCUUUGUCAAAUGGAACUCAAACUUCAUGUACAACCACAUAAACU